rnacentral:lncRNA from 1 species
CUAUGAUAACAUUAGGGGGAGUCCACUUCGGAGCUGGUGGUGGUUUGAGUUGAGUAUUUGGUGGAGGCAAGGUGUUGAAAUUGAUGUGGUUGGGUUUACCAGCUAUUGGAUUGACACAAAUGUGAAAUGCGUUGAUGAUUUUACGUACUGUGGUACCCCCUACCACCAUAAGAAGCUGGAUUUUUGGAAUGGCUUGAGUAGUCUGGACCCUUAAGGAUGGCUGGCCUUGGUUGGUUAUCGGUCAUCUCAAUGAGGUUAUUUGGGAACAUGAAAAAGAAGGGGGUUGUGUCUGGAGAGCCAUUCAUAAUCCUGAUGCCUUACGGUUUCAUAUUUUGAAGGACAUAUAUUUUCCUGAAUGCGAUUUCAUGCAGGCAUUGGCGGGGCAUUGGGCUUCUUGAGUUUGGCCAGCUUGCUUGAGGGGCGAGACGCUAUUUAGGAGAAAAUGCAGAUUCAGAUCCUGGAUGGUGAAUCUAGGAAGAUAUGGGAGGAUGCUUGGUUGCCCCAUCCCCACAUUGGGUGUAUCAACACUACUGCUCUUAUCCCUCCAUUUGCUCCGG